rnacentral:rRNA from 1 species
UACGGAGGGUGCAAGCGUUGCUCGGAAUUAUUGGGCGUAAAGGGUAGGUAGGUGGUCUCAUUUGUCUGGGGUGAAAGCCUUGGGCUUAACCCAAGAAGUGCCCCGGAAACGGUGAGACUAGAGUGCUGGAGAGGUUCGUGGAAUUCCCGGUGUAGCGGUGAAAUGCGUAGAGAUCGGGAGGAACACCAGAGGCGAAGGCGGCGAACUGGACAGUGACUGACACUCAACUACGAAAGCGUGGGGAGCAAACAGG